GCGAGUGAAGCGGCAACAGCUCAAAUUUGAAAGCUGGCUCCGGCCCGCGUUGUAAUUUGCAGAGGAUGCUUCUGGCGAGGUGCCUUCCGAGUUCCCUGGAACGGGACGCCAUAGAGGGUGAGAGCCCCGUAUGGAUGGACACCAAACCUGUGUGAAGCUCCUUCAACGAGUCGAGUAGUUUGGGAAUGCUGCUCUAAAUGGGAGGUAAAUCUCUUCUAAAGCUAAAUACCGGCCAGAGACCGAUAGCGCACAAGUAGAGUGAUCGAAAGAUGAAAAGCACCUUGAAAAGGGGGUUAAACAGUACGUGAAAUUGUUGAAAGGGAAGCGCUUGUGACCAGACUUGCGCCGGGCAGCUCAUCAGGGGUUCUCCCCUGUGCACUCUGUCCGGCUCAGGCCAGCAUCGGUUCUCGUGGGAGGAUAAGAACGGUAGGAACGUGGCCCCCCUCCGGGGGGGUGUUAUAGCCUGCCGUACGAUACUCCCGUGGGGACCGAGGUUCGCGCUCCGCAAGGAUGCUGGC
rnacentral:rRNA from 1 species